AAUCAUUCAUGUUAAUAUACAAUAAAUAAUACCUAAAUUACCAUAUUGCAGCUCUCAUCUUUAGUAUCACAUGUAACAGCCUGAUAAAAUCAUUUUUUCCGAACAAGCUUAUCGCUUAUUUUGGAGUGAAUCUUUGGACUUUGGAGACAAAGUCAAGUCAUGGGCUCCCAUAAAGUUAGCAAAAGUUCUGUACAGGGCUUAAGGCAGUGGACAAAAGGAGCAUCUUCCUCCCUCCCUUUUACUAAUCUCCCCACAAAUCUUUCACAACCCCACCACCACCUUUGCUCUCUUUCUUAAUUUCCUGCCCUUGUCUAUCUUUACUUCAAACACACACACACACACACACACACACACUCUCUCUCUCUCUCUCUCUCUCUCUCUCUCUCUCUCUCUCUCUCUCUCUCUCUCUCUCUCUCUCUCUCUCUCUCUCUCUCUCUCUCUCUCUCUCUCUCUCUCUCUCUCUCUCUCUCUCUCUCUCUCUCUCUCUCUCUCUCUCUCGUUUAGGAAGACGAGAAAAAAAGUUGAUAGCAAGGGAAUGGAGAAAAGAGGAAGAAGAAAAAAGAGAAGGCAAAGAGAACAGGAAAUGAGAGAUAAAGAGGAAACACGAGAAAGAGAAAAUGAGAAAGAAAGGUGAUAGAUAAUACAGAGAGGAAGAAGAAAUGAUAGUAGACAAAGCGAAUAGGGAAUGAGAGAUAAAGAUAAACAAGAUAAUGAGGAAGCUGAUGGGAAGUGGAGAAAAUGAUGAGGAUAAAGGAAGAAAUGAGGAUUGUGAAUAAGGUAAAAAGUAAACAAGAGACUGAGGAGACGAAAAGGAAAAUGAUAGGAUAGGGAUGGAGAUGAUAAACAAGAGAAUGAAGAGACGAGAAGGAAGAUGAUAAGAAGGGGAUUGAGAUGAUAAAGAGAGGAAGAGAAGAGAGAAAAAAAGAUUAGGGAAUGAGAGAUAAAGAGCAAAGGAGAUAAUGAGGAAACUGAUGGGAAGGGGAGUGGAGAAAAUGAAGGGAGGAGAAGAUGGAGAAACAGAGUAGACAAUGAGAAUAGAGAACGAGAGGCAAAUAGCAAAGGAGAGAAUGAGACAAGUAUUGAAGUAGGGAGGGUGGGGGUGUGACUACUUAUUACUAGGAUGGGAAACAAGGUGAGGGUGGGAAGGAGGGAGAGGUGUGGGGGGUGGAUGGAGAGAGGUGUGGGUGGGGUAAGGGAGCUAAAGUGCAAGGGUAGACGUGGUGGAACAUUCAGUUAACCUGCUGGAGUUGCUGUGGAAGGGUGUUUUCACACCUGCAUUUCGCACCUGGUUGUAUUCUCGUUUAGAUCAGAGUGCUAGUUGGUGUGUGCUGCCUACUACCCUGCCUACUGACCCUGACCAUCGAUUUAUGUAAGGUACUUUGACCUGACCAUCACUUUGCUCUGUAAGGUACUCUGACCUGACCAUCACUUUGCUCUGUAAGGCACUCUGACCUGACCAUCACUUUGCUCUGUAAGGCACUCUGACCUGACCAUCACUUUGCUCUGUAAGGCACUCUGACCUGACCAUCACUUUGCUCUGUAAGGCACUCUGACCUGACCAUCACUUUGCUCUGUAAGGCACUCUGACCUGACCAUCACUUUGCUCUGUAAGGCACUCUGACCUGACCAUCACUUUGCUCUGUAAGGCACUCUGACCUGACCAUCACUUUGCUCUGUAAGGCACUCUGACCUGACCAUCACUUUGCUCUGUAAGGCACUCUGACCUGACCAUCACUUUGCUCUUUCAGCAGUGUCACUUGUUCCAGUUGUUCCACCCGUGUUGCCCACCUCCCCUCCACCGGCUUCCAUAUUACCACUGGCUUGUAAAUUAGACGCUGCCCCGUAAGACUCAGGGAUUGACAAAGUCGUUGGUUCUUGAGCUGCUCUAGUCUAAACUCACAUGUGCCACUUAUUGAUUUUAGUUUUUUUUUUUUUAAAUAUUAUCUAUGGAGUCUCUACCUGCUCUAUGGACAGUCUUUGAGGUAUCAUAUUUAUUUUCUUGUAAACUUUUGCAGUUUUGCUUCUUAUUUUAAGCAGUUAGGUUUUAAGUACAAAGGGGGGAGAGGGAGAAGUUCAACUUGUUGGAGCCAUUCCUGCAAAACCAAGGACUAUCACUCUUAAAUAAAUGUAUCUAAAUA